rnacentral:rRNA from 1 species
GGAUUAAUUCGAUGCAACGCGAAAAACCUUACCUACCCCUGACAUGUCUGGAAAGCCGAAGAGAUUUGGCCGUGCUCGCAAGAGAACCGGAACACAGGUGCUGCAUGGCGGUCGUCAGCUCGUGUCUUGAGAUGUUGGGUUAAGUCCCGCAACGAGCGCAACCCUUGUCCUUAGUUGCUACGCAAGAGCACUCUAAUGAGACCGCCGGUGACAAACCGGAGGAAGGUGGGGAUGACGUCAAGUCCUCAUGGCCCUUAUGGGUAGGGCUUCACACGUCAUACAAUGGUCGGGACAGAGGGUCGCCAACCCGCGAGGGGGAGCCAAUCUCAGAAACCCCAUCGUAGUCCGGAUCGCAGUCUGCAACUCGACUGCGUGAAGUCGGAAUCGCUAGUAAUCGCGGAUCAGAAUGUCGCGGUGAAUACGUUCCCGGGUCUGUACACACCGCCCGUCACACCAUGGGAGUGGGUUUCACCAGAAGUAGGUAGCCUAACCGUAAGGAGGGCGCUUACCCCGGUGGGAUUCAUGACUGGGGUGAA